ensembl:lncRNA
CGUUUCUCCGAGUCGCGAGCUGCUCCCUCCCUUUUUUCUAGAGACGCGGGAAUCUCGAGCCAUCGGAACGUGCAGGAGGAGCGGGAGGAAACGUGUCUGAGGCCGGCGGACGUGGUUUGGGGAGCGCCUCCGCUCAGCGGGCUCCUGCAGUGACGGUAUUGGUUGUGACACCAGCAACUGGCCCCAACGUUGGAAACAUUUUCCAAAAAGUUGGUUCAUGACCCUCGCUGGCUGCCUCCUAGAUGCCCACUUCUGUACAGACCCCACGCCUCAAGUUGUGUGUUGCUGGGACUUCAGGUCUGAAGCCAAGCCUAGAUAACCCCCGAUGACAUCAUCUGCAAUUCUCUCA